CCUACGGGGUGCUGCAGUGGGGAAUAUUGGACAAUGGGCGAAAGCCUGAUCCAGCCAUGCCGCGUGUGUGAAGAAGGCCAUCGGGUUGUAAAGCACUUUCAGUGGGGAAGAAAGCCUUGGGGCUAAUACCCUCGAGGAAGGACAUCACCCACAGAAGAAGCACCGGCUAACUCCGUGCCAGCAGCCGCGGUAAUACGGAGGGUGCGAGCGUUAAUCGGAAUUACUGGGCGUAAAGCGCGCGUAGGCGGUCUGAUAAGCCGGUUGUGAAAGCCCCGGGCUCAACCUGGGAACGGCAUCCGGAACUGUCAGGCUAGAGUGCAGGAGAGGAAGGUAGAAUUCCCGGUGUAGCGGUGAAAUGCGUAGAGAUCGGGAGGAAUACCAGUGGCGAAGGCGGCCUUCUGGACUGACACUGACGCUGAGGUGCGAAAGCGUGGGUAGCAAACAGGAUUAGAUACCCUAGUAGU
rnacentral:rRNA from 1 species